CGGGAGGCAGCAGUGGGGAAUAUUGCACAAUGGGCGAAAGCCUGAUGCAGCAACGCCGCGUGAGCGAUGAAGGCCUUCGGGUCGUAAAGCUCUGUCCUCAAGGAAGAUAAUGACGGUACUUGAGGAGGAAGCCCCGGCUAACUACGUGCCAGCAGCCGCGGUAAUACGUAGGGGGCUAGCGUUAUCCGGAUUUACUGGGCGUAAAGGGUGCGUAGGUGGUUUCUUAAGUCAGGAGUGAAAGGCUACGGCUCAACCGUAGUAAGCUCUUGAAACUGGGAAACUUGAGUGCAGGAGAGGAAAGUGGAAUUCCUAGUGUAGCGGUGAAAUGCGUAGAUAUUAGGAGGAACACCAGUAGCGAAGGCGGCUUUCUGGACUGUAACUGACACUGAGGCACGAAAGCGUGGGGAGCAAACAGGAUUAGAUACCCUGGUAGUCCACGCCGUAAACGAUGAGUACUAGGUGUCGGGGGUUACCCCCCUCGGUGCCGCAGCUAAC
rnacentral:rRNA from 1 species